rnacentral:piRNA from 1 species
UCCNCACCUGGUCCAAGGGGCCUAAGCAGAGA